UGCACUCUUCCACUUGGAUCCCAGUACCCCUGCUUCUCCACAAACUUUCUCUGAAGUCUCCUCCAUGGAUAGCAACCCUUCUACAAGUCCUUGAGUAACCUCAAGCACAGCACAGCGGGGAGAGCAGAGAGAAGCUGCCACAGAGGCCCUAGGGACAUGAAAAUGCUUAUGAGUGUGCACUGCUUACUAUGGGAAAAGCCUGGCAGAAAAGGUUCUGGAAGACGCACCUCUGUACUGGAAAACGCUACUUUCCACUUAGGAGGCAAUGAGAUGAGCUACCACUUACGAGGAGAAAACGCCGCCUAGAAAUGAACCACCAGAAAAGAAUGUCUACUAACACAGCAUAUUCUGCCGGCUCCAGGACAGAGGGAUGGGGCGGAGGCCACCCGCUCAUAGAAAGGCAUCCAGGAGUGAGAGUGAGCCUCCAGGCAGGAGUGGGGAAGAGAUGGCCCCGCUAGGCCACACCCUCGGGAAGGACUGCACCUUCUAGAAAAUCAAGUGGAGCGGGAACAAGGACACAGAUCUGCUGAUUUGCAUUCCAGGUACUUCACUGCACCGAUUUCCCUAGCCCUGUUUCCCCAUGUACCACCAGGAUGGACAUAAGGCUGCAACACAAAAAGAAAAAAAGCUGCUGAGGAGUGAUAGAUUAAAACAUACAUUUACCAUCUUUGGCAUUUCCACGAGAUAAGAAAAGAUUAGAAGAAAUACUUGGAGUCUGACUGGCCAGGCGCUAGAGAACGCUGAAAACCUGAGGGAGGUCAUUCCCAUCAUGAAUGCUGGAGCUAAGAUGGUGGUCUUGGAUUGUGGUCCUUAGACUGUUGGUUGCUACGGUUCAGAGACCCUAACCACAGCACGGGCACAGUCUAUCAAAAGGGACUGAGAAGAUAUUUGCAGAAAAUCUUAUAAAAACAUCAGUAAGGCGAUCAAUCCACACUGUGUCAGAUCUUGUUUACAGAUCACUGCCUUCUCUCUCCUGGGUACAGGAGGAACCUCAAAAUCUCUUCCCACACAGCCAUACAGCAGCCAUACCAAGAUGUAAGAAAUAUCAUAUGAAUCCGAACUCAUUCGCUUGUCUGCACUCCAUCUUCUGCGUCAGAAGGAAGAAGUGAUUUUGAGCAUAGCCUGCUGUUCUGUAAAAUUUUCUUUCCAAGUGCAGCCCCUCUAAAAGGUACAGGCACUGGUAUGCUUGGAGUAAGGAGUAUCCAAAGGGAGAGUUUUAAAAAAUGCCUCUUGGUUUUGGGCGUGUGUAUGUGUGGUGCUAGGGAUGGAAUAGAAGACCUUUUGCAUUGUAGGCAAGCAUUCUGCCAUGGAGCUAGAUCUCAAAUCGCAGCAUAGUGUUUUGAAAGAACCUC